AUUGAACGCUGGCGGCAGGCCUAACACAUGCAAGUCGAGCGGAGCGGCGGACGGGUGAGUGAUGCCUAUGUAUCUGCCUGUUCGUAGUGGAUAACGUCCGGUACCGGGCGCUAAUACCGCAUACUCUCAGAUUUGCCUAGGUCGGAUUAGCUAGUUGGUGGGGUAAAGGCCUACCAAGGCGACGAUCCGUAACUGGUCUGAGAGGAUGAUCAGUCACACUGGAACUGAGACACGGUCCAGACGCCUACGGUAGGCAGCAGUGGGGAAUAUUGGACAAUGGGCGAAAGCCUGAUCCAGCCAUGCCGCGUGUGUGAUGAAGGUCUUCGGAUUGUAAAGCACUUUAAGUUGGGAGGCGUUACCAGCAGAAUAAGCACCGGCUAACUUCGUGCCAGCCGCCGCGGUAAUUC
rnacentral:rRNA from 1 species